GACGAACGCUGGCGGCGUGCUUAACACAUGCAAGUCGAACGAAGUGGCGAACGGGUGAGUAACGCGUAAUCAACCUGCCCUUCAGAGGGGGACAACAGUUGGAACCGACUGCUAAUACCGCAUACUGAAGGAGGGGAUUGCGUCUGAUUAGCUGGUUGGAGGGGUAACGGCCCACCAAGGCGAUGAACAGUAGCCGGGCGGGGAGGAUUAACGGCCACAUUGGGAAUGGGAAACGGGCCAGAAUCCUACGGGAGGCAGCAGGGGGGAAACUUCCGAAAUGGACGAAAGUCUGACGGAGCAACGGCGCGUGAGUGAUGAAAGCCUUCGGGGUGUAAAGCUCUGUUAAGCGGGACGCGGUACCGGAAGAGAAAGCCACGGCUAACUACGUGCCAGCAGCCGCGGUAAUAC
rnacentral:rRNA from 1 species